GACGUACUUUUUCACGAAAGGUUGUCUUUGUUCUUUUGCAACCUUUUGAAGGGUUGCAUCUAUUCGAAAGGAAAAGAUAAAUACGUUUGUUUUGAGAUCAAACAUAUAUCUUCUUCCAUUUUUUCAUUUUCUUUUGAGAGAAACUACAGCCAUUGUUUCUAAUUGUUUCCCAUGAGAGACCCUGGAGAAAUACUAGAAUUGCUAUCUAGUAUUCUCACUUGAGACUUUGUUGUAUCCUGGAGGAAAUUUGCCGGUGACCAUUAGCAACGUAGUGG
rnacentral:lncRNA from 1 species